GUGGUCCCACAACGCUUCUUCCAGGGCCUCAGUGCCUUGUGCUCGCUCUGCCUGUCACAGAACUUGCUGUCGGCCAUCCCUGCCAAUGCCUUCGAUGACCUGGCACAGCUGCAGUGUUGCAGCUUGAAUAGCUGCUAGUAAAGUCCAGGAUAAAGAAGGAAAAAGGGCCUUUGCAUGGUAUCCACAAAUGUUUAAUUCAGCCACGUGGUAACAUGUUUGGGUCCCAGGUACACACACAUGGAGGGUCCAGGUUUCUCUCUCCCUGGGGCCCAGGGUCAUCCUGGUCUUGGGGCAGUACAAAGAUAAGGGCUAAUCAGGGAAUAGGGAGGGAGUGGCUCAGGGACACAGGAACAGACAUAGGAACAGGGGAAGAGGCCAAUAGGGUCUACUUGGCUUUUUGAGGGAAGAUCCUUGUGUUUCCCCAACCCAGGGGAUGCCCCCCAGGGUCUCCACACUGCAGUAUCUGAUGCUGGCUGGCAGCAACAGCGGGAUGGGCCAUCUGCCUGCCAGCAUCUUCAAGAACCUGAGCCAACUGCGCAGCCUGAACCUGGAAAGUGCAGGACUGCACAGCCUUGGCCCUGAGGUCUUCCACAACCUGGCACAACUGAAGAAGCUGCGCCUGGCCAAGAACGAGCUGCGUACAUUGGAUGUGACUCUGGCCGUGGAUUUGCUGCUUUUAAAUGUUUUACUUUCCAUAAGUUGUCUGGGCUGUGUUACGCAAGAGAUUGAUUUUAUGGACAGCUGCAACCCUCAACUGAUGCCCACUGGCCACAGGGAGGCACUAGGAGCUACUGGGAGAAUGCUGGGAGCAACUGGGAUCACAACUGGGGUAACUAGGAUCAUACAGGGAACAGCUGGAUGUCACAUUCACAUUUUCUGAAAAAUCCCUUUGCCCAGGAUUUUUCUCCUGGGAAGCUGAGAAGCCGCAGAGAAAAAUGGAAACAAUAAUUAUCUCAUUUGCUUCUCCUCUGUUUUGCUCAUGUGGAAUGUAUUUGGAUAUUGUUUAUCCAGCAGAUGAUUGUUCCAUUGGUUUGUGGUGUGAGUGUUUUGAUUCAAUGGCCAAUCAGUGCCAAGCUGUGUCGAGACUCUGGAGAGAGUCACAAAUUUUCAUUAUUAUCUUUUUAGCCUUCUGUAAGUAUCCUUUCUGUAUUCUUUAGUAUAGUAUAGUAUAGCAUUCUUUAAUAUAAUAUAGUAUCAUAAAAUAAUAAAUUGGCCUUCUGAAACAUGGAGUCAUCCUUCCUGCCACAGGGACCCUGCAAAUACAAUAACAGGAACCAUGCUGGAGAGUGACAGGGAGAAAUGGGAAUCAUACUGGGGAUAAAAUAGGAGCAACUGGGACCAUGCUGGGAUCAUAGUGUGUUGGGAAGGAUUAAAGUUUGACAAGAAAGUCUCACAGAUAUGUAUGUUUAGCAGAAAGAUUUUCAAAUGUAGAAUCUGAAGAAGGAAUAGAGAUGAAAGCAAGUUUUAAGAUAGAAGUAAAGAAUUGCUGAGCCAGUCUUACUGGAUAAUCAAGGAGGCAAAGGGUUAGUUAGAAGGGUUUUUUUUAUGACUUAGAGCAAAGGAUAAACCCACUUCAAACAAGAAGAUGUUUUUACUAAGCAGAAAGAUAGCACAGGCAAAGGGGCGUGCCGAUGUUGCAAGUAGAAAAAAGGUCUCAGAAUUUUCCACUGCAAGAAAACUGAGAAACUUCUAGCUUAAAUUGUAAUGUACUAACUUUUAGUGAUGGAGAAUAGUAACAUGAAUAUGGUAAUUAUAGCAGUUAUGACAGGCUAUAGAUAAAAGUUAAGGUAUAUAUUGGUUCUACUGUAUUAAGAUGCUCAGCAAAGAAAAGUAUAGAAUGCAUUUGUAACCAAAACUAAGGGUCUCCAGGCCUGCCUGCAGCUGGAGCUGUAGGCACAGGCUCUGUCGCCAGCGACCCUGGCUUGCUGUAAGGUCUUGGAUGUAAUAAACUGCAUUUUGGAGAA